UUUAACAACGUUAAAAGAUUAUGCUAACCGGCUGCGUUAGCAAAAAAGUGUUAAAAGUUAUUCGUCAACGUCACAACAUCCUUGUUGUGCCACACACCGCAACCAGCAGAAGAUAGGUAAACAAAAAAUAAAAUACUCAUAAAAAACAUGUGGCAAAAAAAGUGAACACAUUUUGUGUUCAUAAAGUCAUCAUGUUUUCAUAUUUGAAGACUGCAACCACAUUGCUGUUUGCUCAUGUUCUUAAAGUGGUAACUGCCCAAAAAAGAAACUCCGCAAAAAGUUUCUGGCCAUCAAAAGGUAAACAAACUCUCGCAAAUUCCCAGCAAACAAACUUCAACUUGAACACACCCAAAAUGUCUUCAUUUUCACCUGUUUUCAAAUGCUGUGCCUCCUUUUGCUUUUCACAUAACGCCUAACACAGUUGCAAAUGUGCAGAGACGACAACACGGGCGGCAAAAGAAAAACCUCAGACCCAAACAUAUUUGCAUAAACAGAACCCCACUUUGAUGGUUUUGCCGGACGGACCCAGAACGUCCAGGGUGUUUCAGCUAUUGAAUGCAGUUCGACGAAAACUAAAAAUGUUUUUGAAAUAUUUGGUUGCUUUUUCGACGGUGGUUGAGGAAUUAGGACGCUGCUUACCCUCAGGCAUGAAGUUAUAAUCUUAGCUAUGUCCUAUGUGAAGAUAAUAGUAUUAAGAUAUAAACUUGGAAGAAGCUUAGUAGAUGGUUCCUUACGUAUAUCCCAUAAGUAACAACCACGACCGAAAAGAGUGUUCUUGUUUCGCCUUAAAACAUCAAAAACGCCUGGAGUCCUCUCCACAUUUCUUGCUGUUGUGCGGCUGUGCUUGGCAUCAUCAGGUUAGUGUUUAACCUCUGCAGAGUGCUGCAGUCCACUCAAAAAGUCUUUGACUUGCCAUUCCACAACCCCUCUUGGCCAACUUGGACCGGGCAAAAAGCUGAGCCAACCAACCAGUAAACCGAGGCAGCCAGUCAGCCAGAGUUAACCAGUCGACGUAGUCAUCAUCAUCCUCGCCAGCUUCAUAAUCUGCAGCCUCAUAAUCGCCGUAGUCGCUGCUCGGCAUAGCUUUUAGCCACUCGGCUUGCUCUUUAACGCGUUAACGGGUUAAGUUGCCUUUUGUGACCAUGUUUUGUUUUUAGCCAUGCCUAAAACAACAAGGGUGCACCACAAAAAUACGUUCUUGGCACCGUAUUUUUUCCCACGACUGCAUGUAAAAAUGUUCUUAAAGUCCAAGGGUUAUGUUCUUAUAUAUUUGCCUAUUUAAAAUACCGAGAUCCCAGACUUGAUGUGCUGGAAAUAUUACAUACUACAAUAGUUUGUUUCAUCGUGCUGGUGAGUAUCAAAAAUCUCUGUGUCUUUACAAAAAUUUUUAUUUUCAGAUUGACAACGGUAUUUUUCUCAGUGUACACGGAUGUGGAAACAGAACACCACCGGGUUAUGUGUAAUUAGCCACGCAGACUAAGCCAUAAUCCGUGUAAAAUGCCUUGGGACAGAUUUUAAAGCCAAUUCUGAGGAAAAACGCUGAAACCAGGAUAUCCAGGAACUUAAUUUUUCUGUGGCUACUUCACUUCUUCGACCGCGAAUUCAUCUCACUUGCAGGCGGAAUGGGACAAAAAAGCGAAGCAGGUUACUGAGUGUCGCUAGCUGACAACCUCCCGACGAACAUAGGCAGGGUUUCCUGUCUAGGAUUUAGCCCGACUUCCCCCCACAGAUUUUCCGAGCUAGCCACUCCUGUCUGCGACUUUCGCACUGCCUGCUGCGUUGACCUUCCAAUUUAAUCCACGGUUAUGAUCUACGAAGUCCAGUUUAAGUCUAAAGAGGUUGUUGCUAGUAUAGAUUUUUUAAUCGCGUAGGGAUUAUAUAAUGCGUGCUUAUUGUAAUAUUUAUUGUAAAUAGAACAGUAAAGCAUAACAUUGUCAUUUUAUUGUGCUA